rnacentral:lncRNA from 1 species
CUGGGUGUGUCUGUAAGGGUGUUACCAAAGGAGAUAAACAUUUGAGUCAGUGAACUGGGAGAGGCAGACCCACCCUCAGUGUGGGUGGUCACCAUCUAAUCAUCUGCCAUUGUGGCUAGAAUAAAGCAGGCAGAAAAAUGUGGAAGGAGCUGACUUGCUGAGUCUUCUGGUCUUCAUCUUUCACCUACACUGGAUGCUUCCUGCCCUCGAACAUCAGACUCCAAGUUCUUCAACUUUUGGACUCUUGGAGUUACACCAGUAGUUUGCCAGGGGCUCUCGGGCCUUUGGCCAUAGACUGAAGGCUGCACAGUUGGCUUCCCUGCUCUUGAGGUUUGGGACUCGGACUGGCUUCCUUGCUCCUCAGUUUGUAGAUGGCCUAUCGUGGGACUUCACUUUGUGAUUGUUUUUGAAACCAAUGGAGAGAUCAACACAAGCUUUGGAGAGGAGAUCAAAAUAUCUGCUUCACUGGAAGGAGUUUUGGAUUGCUCAACAAGGUUCAGAUCUGUGGCAUAAUCAGGCUUCCUAAUCCUGAACCAAAGUUGUUGUUGUAUCUCGUAGUUGUCACCUGAGAGCUGACUGACCUGUUUCAAGCAUAUGUGAGAUGCCUUCUGGAAAUGCCCGGAAGCAUAUAGCUAAUGGGAUGAGGCAUUUCAAGGUUGAACUUCAGCAAGAGCAAGUGGGAUAAAGGGCAAAAAGCAGCACAUUCCUUUCAAAAUGUCCCCAUUUUAAACUGCAGGCUAGAGUAGACAAUGGAAAUAUAUGACAUAUAAAGAAACUGGUGAGAUUAUUAAGCAGAGGGCCUUCUGGGGAGCAUUAAAGAGUGAGCAAGAAAAAUUUCUCAGACAUGGUGAUUCUAGAAUUGAAAAAUCAUAGACUCUUUCUCUUCUCUCUCCUUUGAGAGUUUCCAGAUGAAUUCUUGGAUCUGGCUACUGAGCAAAUAUAUGAAUAAUAACCUAGGAUCAGCUGGGUAUAAGAGGUUUCCACCAGAAGUCCAUGAAAACCAAUGUUUUUAAGCAUCUAUUGGGCAACUACCAUAAACAAUCAGCAAGAUGUUUAAACAGUUGAUUCUGCCGGCGGCCCAACCAGUUUUUAACUGUAUCACGAAAACUGGCCUGGGGGUACAGUCUGAGAUUAUUCCAGCCCUGCUUUUACACCGCCAGAAAUUCCCUUUCUGUUACAAAUUUCUACCCCAGAGAGGUUUGCAUAUUCUUGGCAUUUUCACUGUGCAUCAGUGAAUCAGCUAGCCUACGGGCCAAGGAGAGGGGAAAAAAAUCCCAAAUAAAACUCAACCCAGUUAGGAUGUCUUCAUCUAUUUUUCAGUGGGAAAAAAUACAGCUGGACUCAGUGACUUCAGUCAAAAGCAAACAUUACUAGUUGCUUCAUUUUUCUAAUUUUUAUUUUUGACUCUCAAGUUUUGGAGGGCAUAAUAAAGACAUAGCCUCAGCAAAGUCACUUAGAAGAUUGAGUUCGUUAUUUUGCAAAGCUUGGGUAGUGACACUUCUGCAAAAUGCACAAGCACAUGAGCAGAGAGAUGUGUGAAUUCAGGAAAGCAGCCAAAUGCACAUCAGAGCUGAGGAAUGUCACAGCGAAAUGAAGAAAACUUGUAAACACCUAUCUGUAUUUUUAGGUAGAGAAUGUUCUAACAUAUUGCCAAUGGGUGCUGCCUGUGUGUUCCUUCCCCUAAGCUUUAAACUCAACUGAUAUUAAAGGUGAUUUGAAAACAAUGAAAAUUGACAGCUUUAUUAAUCUAGAUGGUGUGUGUGAGAGAGAGACAGAGUGUGUGUGUGUGUGUGCG